rnacentral:rRNA from 1 species
AAACUUUGCAAUGUGCGAAAGCACGACAAGGUUAAUCCGAGUGGUUUCUGCUAAAGGAACCUUUUGACAGUCCUAAAAACACUGUUGAAUAAGGGGUGGGCAAGUUCUGGUGUCAGCCGCCGCGGUAAAACCAGCACCUCAAGUGGUCAGGAUGAUUAUUGGGCCUAAAGCAUCCGUAGCCGGCUCUGUAAGUUUUCGGUUAAAUCUGUACGCUUAACGUACAGGCUGCUGGAAAUACUGCAGGGCUAGGGAGUGGGAGAGGUAGACGGUACUCGGGAGGAAGUGGUAAAAUGCUUUGAUCUCUCGAUGACCACCUGUGGCGAAGGCGGUCUACCAGAACACGUCCGACGGUGAGGGAUGAAAGCUGGGGGAGCAAACCGG